UUCUUAGUUUAGUGCCAUAACCUCAGGCUCUGAUCUCAUCAGAUCUCACAAGCUAAAUAGGGUCAGGUCGGGUCAGUAUUAAGACAGGAGAUUUUAAAGAAAACUCAAAUGUUUAAGGAA
rnacentral:rRNA from 1 species